AUUGAACGCUGGCGGCAUGCUUUACACAUGCAAGUCGAACGGCAGCGCGGGCUUCGGCCUGGCGGCGAGUGGCGAACGGGUGAGUAAUACAUCGGAACGUGCCCAGUAGUGGGGGAUAGCUCGGCGAAAGCCGGAUUAAUACCGCAUACGACCUGAGGGUGAAAGCGGGGGAUCUUCGGACCUCGCGCUAUUUGAGCGGACGAUGGCAGAUUAGCUAGUUGGUGGGGUAAAGGCCUACCAAGGCGACGAUCUGUAGCUGGUCUGAGAGGACGACCAGCCACACUGGAACUGAGACACGGCCCAGACUCCUACGGGAGGCAGCAGUGGGGAAUUUUGGACAAUGGGCGAAAGCCUGAUCCAGCAAUGCCGCGUGUGUGAUGAAGGCCUUCGGGUUGUAAAGCACUUUUGGCGGGAACGAAAAGGACUGUGCCAAUACCACGGUUCGAUGACGGUACCCGCAGAAUAAGCACCGGCUAACUACGUG
rnacentral:rRNA from 1 species